AGCGCCUCGAAGCAGCUCCGCGCAUGGCAGUAGCGCCUUUCUUGUCUCCUUUUUUGUCUGCGGCUGCUGUUACUUAAUGGCGUAGUUUCUAGCUAGCUUCUAUUGACCGCCACCGCCACCUAGAGGACAAAGAGCUGUUUCAACAUCAAUCGGAUGAUUUGCUGGUGACAUUUUUACUUGAAGAUAAUGCACUCUGCAUCUCUCAUGGUGUAGCAAAAUUUUGUUUCAUCGCAAUUAGAAUUCGUAGUUCACUGACUGAUACUAACGUUAAUAAGUAAGUUAACGUUGAAUGCUGGAAUAAUGUUUAUUGUUUGUGUUGUUGUUUUGUUUUGGCCAUUGGCUGUAAAUAAAGUAUCUAUCUAAUUAUCUAUCUAUCUUUUUGUCCACAUUUCCUCUCUUUGCUUUUGUUGUUCAUGGCCAUUUUGGAAACUGGCUGCACUGUCCCCAAAAGAGCCAUUUUAGACUGGUUUCGAGGCUGCAAUGCAGAUAACAUUCAUAGAAUGAUAGUUUUUUUAUUUACUUCACUGCUGCUUCAUAAUGUAGAUUCUUUAUUAUUUUGUUUAUUAUUCAUUAAAAUUUUGUCCCACCUUUCCUCCAAGUAUUCAUUGGCUAGUGCCUGUGCCAUAUCUAUUCUAUUUACUAAAGGGGCAUGUCUACUCUAUUUACUAAAAAGGUGGGGAGAAGGAGAUAUUGCCAGUACCACUCUAUUUUGUGCUGCAAAGCACCCCUCUAUUCGAUGUCUCAGCAGCACUGCAUCAUGGGCUCUUGAUCAGGGAACAGGGAACUUUUCACCCUACCUAAACUAAAAAGGCAGUAUUGCAUUCACAAGUGGUUGCUUGUAAGAGCAAGUGUGGGGCAAUGUGCCUCAGAUCAAACUUGCAAGCUGACUGAAUAGGACACACCUCACCCCUUUCUCUUACAGAGAGGCAUCAGCCUCCAAGCAGACUCUAUUUCACCUAACCUGAUUUUUGCUUCCUGUACCCCAUUUUGUCCUUAAUAAAGCUUUAAACUGUA